GACAGAGGGUGCAAGCGUUGAUCGGAAUUACUGGGCGUAAAGCGCGUGUAGGCGGCCCUGUAAGUCGGGUGUGAAAUCCCACGGCUCAACCGUGGAAGUGCACUCGAAACUACAGGGCUAGAGCCCUGUAGAGGAAGGUGGAAUGCUUGGUGUAGAGGUGAAAUUCGUAGAUAUCAAGCGGAACACCGGUGGCGAAGGCGGCCUUCUGGACAGUGACUGACGCUGAGACGCGAAAGCGUGGGGAGCAAACAGG
rnacentral:rRNA from 1 species